rnacentral:rRNA from 1 species
GAUGAACGCUGGCGGCGUGCCUAAUACAUGCAAGUCGAGCGAACAGACGAGGAGCUUGCUCCUCUGACGUUAGCGGCGGACGGGUGAGUAACACGUGGAUAACCUACCUAUAAGACUGGGAUAACUUCGGGAAACCGGAGCUAAUACCGGAUAAUAUAUUGAACCGCAUGGUUCAAUAGUGAAAGACGGUUUUGCUGUCACUUAUAGAUGGAUCCGCGCCGCAUUAGCUAGUUGGUAAGGUAACGGCUUACCAAGGCAACGAUGCGUAGCCGACCUGAGAGGGUGGUAGCCCGCCUGGGAGGUGAGACGGGGACCAGACUCCUGCGGGAGGCACCAGUAGGGAACCUUCCGCAAUGGGCGAAAACCUGACGGAGCAGGGCCGCGUGAGUGAUGAAGGUCUUCGGAUCGUAAAACUCUGUUAUGGGGUAAGAACAACUGUGGAAGUAAAUGUGCCGGUCUUGACGGUACCUAAUCAGAAAGCCACGGCUAACUACGUG